UACGUAGGGGGCAAGCGUUGUCCGGAUUAUUGGGCGUAAAGAGCGUGUAGGCGGCCUGGUAGGUCAGCUGUGAAACUCGAGGCUCAACCUCGAGACGCCGGUUGAAACCAUCAGGCUAGAGUCCGGAAGAGGAGAGUGGAAUUCCCGGUGUAGCGGUGAAAUGCGCAGAUAUCGGGAAGAACACCUAUGGCGAAGGCAGCUCUCUGGGACGGUACUGACGCUGAGACGCGAAAGCGUGGGGAGCGAACAGG
rnacentral:rRNA from 1 species